AUUUAUAUAGUUUAAGAAAAACGUUACACUUUCAUUGUAAAAUUAAAUCUGUCUUUUGUAAAUA
rnacentral:tRNA from 1 species